rnacentral:rRNA from 1 species
GACGAACGCUGGCGGCGUGCUUAACACAUGCAAGUCGAACGGAAAGGCCCCUUCGGGGGUACUCGAGUGGCGAACAGGUGAGUAACACGUGAGUAACCUGCCCUUGACUUCGGGAUAACUUCAGGAAACUGGGGCUAAUACCGGAUAGGAAUCCUUGCUGCAUGGUGGGGGUUGGAAAGCUUCGGCGGUUUUGGAUGGACUCGCGGCUUAUCAGCUUGUUGGUGGGGUAGUGGCUUACCAAGGCUUUGACGGGUAGCCGGCCUGGGAGGGCGACCGGCCACAUUGAGACUGAGAGACGGCCCAGACUCCUACGGGAGGCAGCAGUGGGGAAUAUUGCACAAGGGGCGGAAGCCUGAUGCAGCAACGCCGCGGGCGGGAUGACGGCCUUCGGGUUGUAAACCGCUUUCAGCAGGGGCGAAGCUUGUGGUGACGGUACCUGCAGAAGAAGCACCGGCUAACUACGUG